CCCACUGAAGGAGGAGAAGACCAGCAGCUGAAGCUCCGUGUUGAUGGACUGGGGUCAGUUUUAUGGUUUCGAGUCAGAGUCGCUGUUUAAAGUCACUUAUGUUCAGAUAGAACGUGUAUUUUUGUAGUUUUGUGGCACCUCCCGGAUCUUCCCCCGACUUCAGUCUGUGUGACACCGCGUCAGUGAUGAGUAGAGUGAUGCCAGAAGUAAGAAGACAGGCUUGUUUUCUGCACAGGUGUAGCUUCACUGAGGGGGGACACAGAGACCUCGGCCUCAGACCAGGGUGAAGAUGAUCCAGAGCCAAGAGAUGCAACUGACCCCGUGAUGAGCUUGAUAAGCCCUGUACUAUGUUCAUGCUGAGAUGGCACCACUGAUCAUUUUGUUCUAAACAAACUGUGUGGGUAUUUGCCUGCGUCUGUGUUUUUACAUGUAUUAUGUUCUACAUUUUGUACGUUGUUAAUAAACUGCAAAUUU